UGCAGUCGAACGGUAACAGGGAGCUUGCUCCGCUGACGAGUGGCGAACGGGUGAGUAAUAUAUCGGAACGUACCUUUGAGUGGGGGAUAACUAGUCGAAAGAUUAGCUAAUACCGCAUACGAUCUACGGAUGAAAGUGGGGGACCUGCAAGGGCCUCAUGCUCAUAGAGCGGCCGAUAUCUGAUUAGCUAGUUGGUGAGGUAAAGGCUCACCAAGGCUUCGAUCAGUAGCUGGUCUGAGAGGACGACCAGCCACACUGGGACUGAGACACGGCCCAGACUCCUACGGGAGGCAGCAGUGGGGAAUUUUGGACAAUGGGGGCAACCCUGAUCCAGCAAUGCCGCGUGAGUGAAGAAGGCCUUCGGGUUGUAAAGCUCUUUUGUCAGGGAAGAAACGGGGGAUCCUAAUACGGUCCCCUAAUGACGGUACCUGAAGAAUAAGCACCGGCUAACUACGUGCCAGCAGCCGCGGUAAUACGUAGGGUGCAAGCGUUAAUCGGAAUUACUGGGCGUAAAGCGUGCGCAGGCGGUUAUGUAAGACAGGUGUGAAAUCCCCGGGCUUACCUGGGAGUGGCAUUUGUGACUGCAUGGCUAGAGUGUGUCAGAGGGGGUAGAUUCCACGUGUAGCAGUGAUAUGCGUAGAGAUGUGGAGGAAACCGAUGGAGAAGCAGCCCCUGAGAUACACUGACGCUCAUGCAGAAGCGUGGGAGCAAACAGGAUAGAUACCUGGUAGUCACGCCUAAAGAUGCUAUAGUGUCGGUCUUAUUGAUUGGUACGCAGCUACGCGGAAUACACCCCUGGGAGACGGCGCAGAU
rnacentral:rRNA from 1 species